rnacentral:rRNA from 1 species
UAUAAUGCAAGUCGACGAACUUCCGUUAAUUGAUUAUGACGUACUUGUACUGAUUGAGAUUUUAACACGAAGUGAGUGGCGAACGGGUGAGUAACACGUGGGUAACCUGCCCAGAAGUAGGGGAUAACACCUGGAAACAGAUGCUAAUACCGUAUAACAGAGAAAACCGCAUGGUUUUCUUUUAAAAGAUGGCUCUGCUAUCACUUCUGGAUGGACCCGCGGCGUAUUAGCUAGUUGGUGAGGUAAAGGCUCACCAAGGCAGUGAUACGUAGCCGACCUGAGAGGGUAAUCGGCCACAUUGGGACUGAGACACGGCCCAGACUCCUACGGGAGGCAGCAGUAGGGAAUCUUCCACAAUGGACGCAAGUCUGAUGGAGCAACGCCGCGUGAGUGAAGAAGGGUUUCGGCUCGUAAAGCUCUGUUGUUAAAGAAGAACGUGGGUAAGAGUAACUGUUUACCCAGUGACGGUAUUUAACCAGAAAGCCACGGCUAACUACGUGCCAGCAGCCGCGGUAAUACGUAGGUGGCAAGCGUUAUCCGGAUUUAUUGGGCGUAAAGCGAGCGCAGGCGGUCUUUUAAGUCUAA